AACAGGGAUUGCCCUAGUAACGGCGAGUGAAGCGGCAACAGCUCAAAUUUGAAAUCUGGCCUCUUUUGGGGUCCGAGUUGUAAUUUGCAGAGGGCGCUUUGGCGUUGGCAGCGGUCCAAGUUCCUUGGAACAGGACGUCACAGAGGGUGAGAAUCCCGUACGUGGUCGCUGGCCUUCGCCGUGUAAAGCCCCUUCGACGAGUCGAGUUGUUUGGGAAUGCAGCUCUAAAUGGGAGGUAAAUUUCUUCUAAAGCUAAAUACUGGCCAGAGACCGAUAGCGCACAAGUAGAGUGAUCGAAAGAUGAAAAGCACUUUGGAAAGAGAGUCAAACAGCACGUGAAAUUGUUGAAAGGGAAGCGCUUGCAGCCAGACUUGCCUGUAGUUGCUCAUCCGGGCUUUUGCCCGGUGCACUCUUCUAUAGGCAGGCCAGCAUCAGUUUGGGCGGUUAGAUAAAGGUCUCUGUCACGUACCUCUCUUCGGGGAGGACUUAUAGGGGAGGCGACAUGUAACCAGCCCAGAUUGAGGUCCGCGCAUUUGCUAGGAUGCUGGCGUAAUGGCUGUAAGCGGCCCGUCUUGAAACACGGACCAAGGAGUCUAACAUCUAUGCGAGUGUUUGGGUGUCAAGCCCGAGCGCGCAAUGAAAGUGAACGGAGGUGGGAACCCCUCGGGGUGCACCAUCGACCGAUCCUGAUGUCUUCGGAUGGAUUUGAGUAAGAGCAUAGCUGUUGGGACCCGAAAGAUGGUGAACUAUGCUUGAAUAGGGUGAAGCCAGAGGAAACUCUGGUGGAGGCUCGCAGCGGUUCUGACGUGCAAAUCGAUCGUCAAAUUUGGGCAUAGGGGCGAAAGACUAAUCGAAC
rnacentral:rRNA from 2 species